rnacentral:SRP_RNA from 2 species
CGCGAGAGAUUGGCGGACGGUUUACCCGCCAAUCCGGUCAGGCCCGGAAGGGAGCAGCCGUAACGGGAUCGCCGGGUCGUUCAAUCUCUCACUUUU